rnacentral:lncRNA from 1 species
UCUACUAAGAUGCCAACUCCAUUCCUACGCCUCUCGCUCCCAGAGUACCACAGCUUGUAACCAUCCACAUCCCUAGCCUUAGACCCUACCCACUUGGUCUCUUAAACACACGCAAUGUUGAUCCUCCUCUUCCUAAGAAUCUUCACAAGCUCUAUGGACUUACCUUGAAGGGUCCCUAUAUUCCAAGACCCAACCCUCAGCCUACCGUCACUAUCCACACGCCUUCCACUACCCCCCUCGCGGCCAAACCUUGGCCUCCCUCCCACUCCCGCCAUUUCCUCAUCCCCUGCCCCCACCACGUCCCCACGCCUCAACCCCCUCGGACAUGACCCUAUCCACCCAUUACCGCCCACAGCCACAACUACACGAAAGUAUAAGAAAAUAUACAAAUAUACACGAUGGUAGUAGCAAAGCAGCAACAAGAAAUACAAGGCUCACACAAAUUCAAAGAAAUACUCCCGAAAUAAAACUAUACUCAAUUAGGGGGCAAACACCACUGGACUCAACACCCACAACCCUAAAUACAGAUUCCCAGCCGAUAACCCAAUCCAAAGCAGUGCA